rnacentral:rRNA from 1 species
GAUGAACGCUGGCGGCGUGCCUAAUACAUGCAAGUCGAGCGAACAGACGAGGAGCUUGCUCCUCUGACGUUAGCGGCGGACGGGUGAGUAACACGUGGAUAACCUACCUAUAAGACUGGGAUAACUUCGGGAAACCGGAGCUAAUACCGGAUAAUAUAUUGAACCGCAUGGUUCAAUAGUGAAAGACGGUUUUGCUGUCACUUAUAGAUGGAUCCGCGCCGCAUUAGCUAGUUGGUAAGGUAACGGCUUACCAAGGCAACGAUGCGUAGCCGACCUGAGAGGGUGAUCAGCCACACUGGAACCGAGACACGGUCCAGACUCCUACGGGAGGCAGCAGUAGGGAAUCUUCCGCAAUGGGCGAAAGCCUGACGGAGCAACGCCGCGUGAGUGAUGAAGGUCUUCGGAUCGUAAAACUCUGUUAUUAGGGAAGAACAAAUGUGUAAGUAACUAUGCACGUCUUGACGGUACCUAAUCAGAAAGCCACGGCUAACUACGUG